UGGCGGCAUGCUUUACACAUGCAAGUCGAACGGUAACAGGGAGCUUGCUCCGCUGACGAGUGGCGAACGGGUGAGUAAUGCAUCGGAACGUGCCGUGUAGUGGGGGAUAACGUAGCGAAAGUUACGCUAAUACCGCAUACGCCCUGAGGGGGAAAUGGGGGACCGCAAGGCCUCACGCUAUACGAGCGGCCGAUGUCGGAUUAGCUAGUUGGUAGGGUAAAGGCCUACCAAGGCGACGAUCCGUAGCGGGUCUGAGAGGAUGAUCCGCCACACUGGGACUGAGACACGGCCCAGACUCCUACGGGAGGCAGCAGUGGGGAAUUUUGGACAAUGGGCGCAAGCCUGAUCCAGCCAUGCCGCGUGAGUGAAGAAGGCCUUCGGGUUGUAAAGCUCUUUCAGACGGAAAGAAAUCGGUGAGGUUAAUACCUUCACUGGAUGACGGUACCGUAAGAAGAAGCACCGGCUAACUACGUGCCAGCAGCCGCGGUAAUACGUAGGGUGCGAGCGUUAAUCGGAAUUACUGGGCGUAA
rnacentral:rRNA from 1 species